rnacentral:misc_RNA from 1 species
AUGGCGGUUUGCUGUCAAAAGUUAAGCUAAUAUCUUUUCUUCGAAAAUUACCAAUGUAUUUACUGGAGAAAACGUGUUGAAAGAGUCGUGCAGCUCACUGCUGUCGUUCAACCAUUUAUUUGUUCAAAAUCAUUGUAUUCUACUGAAUGUGCCAUCAAAAUGAAACAGGAUUCAUCAUAAUGGUCUGCUGUUUGUAUUGGACUUGCUAGAUCGCCAAUCCCAGCCAUGCCCCGAUUUUGAGUGUUCUUCAUAUCAGGUUUCUAACACAUUGGUAUGACAGAUUUGAUGAGAAGUCAUAUUUUUAAGAAAAUGGACAAGGGCCAUACAGUCAACAAGGUUCCUUGUUUGCUAACCCGUUGGCUGCUACCCUUCAAUCUCCCUGUUUACUUCCUUACACAGGUCCUAUUGAUUUGAGGGUAACUCUUUCACUACUGAUGACAUCAACUGUUGUAAACUGACGAGAGAAUGCUGCAAUUCAAGACUGAUACGUUGUGUAGUUGUUAGAUAAAUGACAAGUGCAUAUCUGGGCUUCCUUCUUUU